rnacentral:rRNA from 2 species
CUGCAGCCUGAUAUUGAAUGUUGGUACAGCUUGUACAGGAUAGGUAGGAGCCUUGGAAACCGGAGCGCCAGCUUCGGUGGAGGCAUCGGUGGGAUACUACCCUGGCUGUAUUGACCUUCUAACCCGCCGCCCUUAUCGGGCGGGGAGACAGUGUCAGGUGGGCAGUUUGACUGGGGCGUCGCCUCCUAAAAGGUAACGGAGGCGCCCAAAGGUUCCCUCAGAAUGGUUGGAAAUCAUUCGCAGAGUGUAAAGGCACAAGGGAGCUUGACUGCGAGACCUACAAGUCGAGCAGGGACGAAAGUCGGGCUUAGUGAUCCGGUGGUUCCGCAUGGAAGGGCCAUCGCUCAACGGAUAAAAGCUACCCCGGGGAUAACAGGCUUAUCUCCCCCAAGAGUCCACAUCGACGGGGAGGUUUGGCACCUCGA